CAGGGCUCAAACUCACAAACUAUGAGAUCAUGACCUGAGCCAAAAUCGGAGGUUUAACCAACUGAGCCACCCAGGUGCCCCUGGACUCUUUGCUUUGAAAUGCAACUACCAUGCUGUAGAGAGGCCAAACCUGCACAGAAGCCACAUGGAAGUUUCUCAAAGCAGUCCAAGCCAGCAUGUGAGGAGGCAACUCUUCAGGUGAGCAGCCCAAAGUCCAGGGGUCCCCUCAGGCUUGGAGUCCUCCCAGUGAGGUCCCAGAUGCUGUGAACAGAUUCUAGCUUUCCUUGAUGUUGUCUUUCCCAAAUUCUGAUGCUCAGAAACAUAAUAAAAUGAUCUAAGCUGCUAUGUUUGGGGUAACUCAUUAUCAGUAACUGCAUCCUUUCUCUUACAGAAACAUCACACUUCCUGCCCCCUUGAAAUCACAUGUGGCCCUGUGACUUGCUGUGGGCAAUGCAAUUUGAGUGGAAAUGAUGUAUGACAGUGUUUCAUUGCUUGGCUCCAUUCUUUGCCUGUUCUUCUGGAAGACAUGGAGAUGUUGUCUCUGUGGGUCACAUUGGACAUACGGGCCAGUCACCCCUCUGCUCUCCUCCAGCCCUGGGCCUAGGAGCUGUCCUGCCCACACCUUCAUCUCAAGACCUUGAAUUUGCCCUUCUGUCUGCCUGGAAACUCUUCACCUGGAUAUCGAUGGGAAAACUGAGGCCCAGAGAUGUUAAAGAGCUUGCUGACAACUGUCAGAGCCUGGAACCAAGAAGCAGCCCCAGCCCUAAAGGACAACCAGGCCCAGGAACUUCCCAGAACAGAUAAGCCUGUGGGAUGUGACAUACUGGGGAGACCAGCGCCCCUCCCUGAGUGCCAGUCCCCGCAGGUUCAUAGGCAGCCCCUAGGCCUGUCAACUGGCAGCCAGCACGGGGAGUCACUGGGAGGGAGGACGCCAGGCCCAGGACCCAGCAUGUGAAUGCUGGGCUGCUGGGGAGGCUGGCAGGCAGGCCGGCAGCCAGUGGCUCCAAGUCAGGUAAUCACACUGGGCACCCUGAACACCCCUACCCCACCUGAUCGCACCAGCCCUCACCUCCCUCAACACCCUCUCUUGAAUUUGGCAAAUUCAAGCUGCUUGGGAACUGAGCCCUGAGGCUGUCUCCUGUCAAAAGAAAAGUAAGGACAUAAAGAAGGAAGGUAUCCACUGGGACCAUGGGGCCCAGGAAGGGACACUGCCCCACCCUCUCCCCUAAGGCUUCCAUGACCCACCAAGAUUCUACAUCCAGUCACCUGGUCCCUUUCCCUUCCCAACAUACAAUGUCACACUCACAGGCCUGGCUGGAUCAGUACCUCCAGGGCCCAGCCUGUCCCUUGAUGCCUAUGCACUCCCCAUGGGCUUCAAAGCUUUGAGGACAGAGAUGACCAGGUCUCAUCCACACCCAUGGUAGGACCCAGUCAGGGUGAGACAGGAGCAAACACAAAAGGCCAAGGACCCCUCCCUUGGGGGCCAUCAGAAGUCACUCAGAAACCCCAAGUCCUUCUCCAAGGUCCCUUCAUCCACAGGGCCUGGGGUCUUUUAAGAAAAGGAGGGCGGGUGUCUGGGUGGCUCAGUUGGUUAAGCGUGGACUUCAGCUCAGGUCAUGAUCUUGAGCUUCAUGAGUUUGAGCCCCACAUUGGGCUCUGUGCUGA